UUGUUUCCUGGCCCAGGCUCCCAGGACCUUGUGGGCUGGGCAGGUCGUGCACCAAGUUUCCACGCCGCCUUUACACCGUGUCCCCACCGAGGGGCGUCACAACCGUCCUCCACACCGGGCGUCACCGGCUUCCCAAGUCCCACCGCUAUAAAGGACACGUCAGUCAGCAUCUCGGAGUGAGACGCUUUCCUUCUGGAUUCAGAAUCGCGUCCGUCAGAGACUCCAAAGCACAUUUGCUAGAUCGACAGGCGUGAGGAGCCAGCGGCUCCCGGCGCUUGGGAGGCUGCGUCCCACCUGCAUUCAGGCCCCGGGUUCACCACACACACAGCGGGCAGCUGCUUAAGAAACCUUUGAUUUCAGUCCGGGGCGGUGGCUCACGCCUGUAAUCCCAGCACUUUGGGAGGCCGAGGUGGGCGGAUCACGAGGUCAGGAGUUUGAGACCAGCCUGGUCAACAUGGAGAAACCCUGUCUCUACUAAAAAUACAAAAAUUAGCCGGGCAUGGCAGCAGGCGCCUGUAAUCCCAGCUACUCAGGAGGCUGAGGCGGGAGAAUUGUUU
rnacentral:lncRNA from 1 species